AUGUACUGCUUGUACAUUCCGGUUCCUGCGCGCCGUCCGCGCCCACCUGGCGACUGCUCGCUACGUUUGUUAGCC
rnacentral:sRNA from 1 species